rnacentral:rRNA from 1 species
UGGCGAACGGGUGAGUAACACGUAAGUAAUCUACCUUUAAGACGAGGAUAACAACCGGAAACAGUUGCUAAGACUGGAUAGGAAAUAAAAAGGCAUCUUUUUAUUUUUAAAAGACCUUUUUCGAAAGGUAUGCUUAAAGAUGAGCUUGCGCCACAUUAGUUUGUUGGUGGGGUAAUGGCCUACCAAGACGAUGAUGUGUAGCUGGACUGAGAGGUCGAACAGCCACAUUGGGACUGAGACACGGCCCAAACUCCUACGGGAGGCAGCAGUAGGGAAUUUUCGGCAAUGGAGGAAACUCUGACCGAGCAACGCCGCGUGAACGAUGAAGUAUUUCGGUAUGUAAAGUUCUUUUAUUGGAAGAAGAAAAAAUAGUGGAAAAACUAUCUUGACGUUAUUCAAUGAAUAAGCCCCGGCUAACUAUGUGCCAGCAGCCGCGGUAAGACAUAGGGGGCGAGCGUUAUCCGGAAUUAUUGGGCGUAAAGGGUGCGUAGGCGGUUAGGAAAGUCUAUAAUUUAAUUUCAGUGCUUAACGCUGUCUUGUUAUAGAAACUACCUUGACUAGAGUUAGAUAGAGGCAAGCGGAAUUCCAUGUGUAGCGGUAAAAUGUGUAAAUAUAUGGAGGAACACCAGAAGCGUAGGCGGCUUGCUGGGUCUUGACUGACGCUGAGGCACGAAAGCUUGGGGGCAAACAGNNNNNNNNNNNNNNNNNNNNNNNNNNNNNNNNNNUGAGUACUAAGUGUCGGGAUAAAACUCGGUACUGAAGUUAACACAUUAAGUACUCCGCCUGAGUAGUACGUACGCAAGUAUGAAACUUAAAGGAAUUGACGGGACUCCGCACAAGCGGUGGAUCAUGUUGUUUAAUUCGAAGAUACACGAAAAAUCUUACCAGGUCUUGACAUGCUCUGCAAAGCUAUAGAAAUAUAGUGGAGGUUAUCAGGGACACAGGUGGUGCAUGGUUGUCGUCAGUUCGUGUCGUGAGAUGUUAGGUUAAGUCCUAAAACGAGCGCAACCCUUGUCGUUAGUUACCAGCACGUAAUGGUGGGCACUUUAACGAGACUGCCAAUUAAACAUUGGAGGAAGGUGAGGAUUACGUCAAAUCAUCAUGCCCCUUAUGAUCUGGGCUACAAACGUGAUACAAUGGCUGUUACAAAGAGUAGCUGAAGCGCGAGUUUUUAGCCAAUCUCAAAAAAGCAGUCUCAGUUCGGAUUGAAGUCUGUAACUCGACUUCAUGAAGUUGGAAUCGCUAGUAAUCGCGAAUCAGCAUGUCGCGGUGAAUACGUUCUCGGGGUUUGUACACACCGCCCGUCAAACCACGAAAGUUAGCAAUACCCGAAAGCAGCAGCUUAACUUCGCAAGAAGAGGGAACUGUCUAAGGUAGGGUUGAUGAUUGGGGUUAAGUCGUAACAAGGUAUCCCUACCGGAAGGUGGGGAUGGA